GGGGGUGACAGGUCUCGACUUGAGAUGUUGUUGUCUAAGCGGCGUGCCGAGGACGCCUGGUGGGCCUCGUUAAUCAUCCGGGCACAAACAAAUGCAAACGAUAGUAUCCUUGCACAAGCCAACGAGAUCGUUAAUCCGAUCUUUGAGGCAGAAACAGUCUUAGCUUAAAAUUUAAGCUAAGCCCUUUUACAGAUCUUGCCUGUGGAUCUGUAAGAGGCCUUAACAGGCUAGCGUCCGCCAUGCCUUGUGGCGGAUGGCGAAACCAUAAGGCUGGUCCCGUUGUAUUCUGUUUGCCGAAGCCGGCGGGAUAAGACCAAAAGACAAACUACGCAUGUAGAAGCUUAUUCAAAGCACUUAAAGGACCCGGGUUCAAUUCCCGGCACCUCCACUU
rnacentral:tmRNA from 1 species